AAAAUAGCUAAGUGUGAAGAUUGUGGACUUAGUGAAAAUUUGGGCGAAAAAUGGGAGCAAAAAGAGUGCAGCUUCGGGAAAAAUCACAUACGCCAUCGUACAACAUCACACGUGAUAGGACCAUAAAAGAUGCAUCGCACGCGCGAUGUAAGUUAUCACGCGCACGAUGGUCUCUUUUUAUAGGCUUUUUUUGAUGCAUAUGAUCUACUCUGAUCUCUUUUUAAGGGGUUUUUUUUU
rnacentral:lncRNA from 1 species